UACAGAGGUCUCAAGCGUUGUUCGGAUUCAUUAGGCGUAAAGGGUGCGUAGGCGGCGCGGUAAGUCGGGUGUGAAAUCUCGGAGCUUAACUCCGAAACUGCAUUCGAUACUGCCGUGCUUGAGGACUGGAAAGGAGACUGGAAUUUACGGUGUAGCGGUGAAAUGCGUAGAUAUCGUAAGGAAGACCAGUGGCGAAGGCGGGUCUCUGGACAGUUCCUGACGCUGAGGCACGAAGGCCAGGGGAGCAAACGGG
rnacentral:rRNA from 1 species